AGGGAUGUGGCUCACUGGCAGAGUGCUUGCCUAGCAUGUGUUAGACCCUGGGUUCAAUUUCCCGGCAUGCCCA
rnacentral:tRNA from 1 species